UGGUACUAUGCUCUCCCUUUUCCUUUGCCCCAAGGAAUUAGGGUAUAUUCUAAAUCGAUUUCAUCUGGGUGAUACAAGAGAUUCUGUUGGUUGUUCAGAGAUGUUGAGAGAUCAACCAGGAGACUGUGGGAGGAUGUGAGCUCUCUGAGGUAACCUCUCUCCAUGUGUCACCCCUGGUCUUCGGGAAGUCUCUCCAAUUCAAGAAAUGUGCUGUUUUAGUGGUGUCUUUCUUUUGGAAACUGGUAAAGGGACUGAGGGUGCUGUGGAAUUAAAGACAAGCAAGGGCCAGGCAUAGCGGUUCACACCUGUAAUCCGAGCACUUUGGGAGGCCAAGGUGGGAGGAUUAUUUGAGGCGUGGAGGUCAAGAACAGCCUGUGUAACAUAGCCAGACUUUGUUUCUACGAGAACAUAAAAUAAAAUAAAAUAAAAUGAAAUAAUCUGAAUAUAGAUGCAUGCAUGUGUGUUCCCAGCUACACAGGAAGCUGAGGCAGGAGGAUUGCUUGAGCCCAGGAGUUCGAGUUUAUAGUGAGCUGUGAUCAUGUCACUGCACACUAGCCUGGGCAACAGAAUGAGACCCUGCCUCUCAAUAAAAAGAAAUAAAGAAGACAGAAAUUCAGUGGCAAUAGAAGCAGGAGGAAAUGAAUCUUUGAACUUGCAGAUGUUGUGGGAAGACUGUUAACAGUCAAUGGAAUUGGCAGUCAAGAGAAGUUUAACUGAAUCUCUGAGUGGCAAGAGUCAGGAGAGGUUUAACUGAAUAUAGAAGGAGAAGAAGUAUUUACAUUAGAAGUCUGAUUCACAGGUCGGGGCAAAGUGAAAAACAUCUGCACUUUUAAAAGGUCACAGUGUUUGGACACCGCAUGAACAUGCCAAUUUCCUGUGUUGUAAUAUUUUUAUGCACUUUAAGAAGACCACCAGAAACAGCAGAGUGAGUGAAUGACUGAGGCGCAUAUUGGACAAAAAUCACUUAUCCAAGACCACGUUACUACAACCCCAGGGCACAGAAGCUAAGUCUUCCUAUUGUACUGAACUCAGUUGACUGGAAUUUGUUCAGGAAAGCAUGAAGUCAAAUGGAAGCUAGUCCGUGACUGGAUUCAUCUUUUGGUAAAAAACGAAGAGGAGACCCCAUAUCCUGGAGGUUCUUGCUUAACCCUGUCCCUAAUAAGACCUAACUUUAUGAGUCUUCUCCUUAGAGGCAGUCCUAGGGUAAGAGUGAUUAUUCCUGUGAGCCUUGUAGGUACUUUCGAAUCAAGGAAAUUAGUAGUUGAUUGCUAAUUAAUUCAGUAUUUAAUGAAUUUAAGUACCUAGGCAAUGAGGCCACAAUAGCAAAUAAGACACAGACCUGUUUUCAAAAAGUAGCCUGUAAAUAAGAUAUUUUUUUCUGCCAUGGUGGCAAAGGCAUGACUAUGGUGAUGAACAUUCAUAGGCUCACCUUCUAGCUCUGUUGUAUGUUAACUGUGUGAACUUGGGUCAAGUUAUGAAAACUCUAAGAACUCUCAAAACUCCUGAUCUGUUUUAACAUGAAAGUAAAGAUAUCUAAUUGAAUUGUUGUGAAACUUAAAUGUAAUGUGACAUCCAAAGAAUGUAGCCCAAAGUUGGAUUUCAGUAAGUGAUAAAUAGAAGUAUUUAAACAUGGGUAUGGUAUGUUCUGUAACAGAAGAAUGUCUAUGUGCUGGGGAUACCUAGAGACAGUGAAAAUUCUGUCUGGCCUGCGAAUUAUAAUAAAAUGACUCUUUAAAGUCAAUGAGUCUUAAUAUUUUCUCACAUCUACUUUUCUUUUUCUUUCUUUUUUUUCUUUUCUUUUUUUUUUUUUUUUUUUUUUUGAGAUGGAGUCUCACUCUGUCACCCAGGCUGGAGUGCAGUGGCACAAUCUGGGCUCACUGCAACCUCUGCCUCCCAGGUUCAAGCAAUUCUCCCACCUCAGACUCCCGAGUAGCUGGGAUUACAGGUACACACCACCAUGCCUGGCUAAUUUUUGUAUUUUUAGUAGAGACGGGGUUUUACUAUGUUGGCCAGGCUGGUCAUGAACUCCUGACCUCAGUUGAUCCACCCACCUUGGCCUCUGAAAGUGCUGGGAUUACAGGCCUGAGCCACCGCGCCCAGCCUCACGUCUACUUUUUAAGAUCAAACGCCAAAUCUUUGCCACAUCGAAUUUCUGGUUGAGUUACAUUUGGUAGUGGGUAUGAGAGGUAGUAUGGGAGGGAAGUCUUGAGUCUAGAGACUUCCAGAACAUUCAUAGUCCUCUAUAUUUCUGUCCCACUCUUGCUCUGAAGUAGGAGGAAACAUCUUUCCUUGACAUUGGCCUCUGGUUCACACACUGAUUCAAUUUUUGUCCAUGCUUUUUGGCAUAUCUCAUUUAAUUUUCACAAUUCUGAAAUGUAGAAAUUAUACUAUUUUUUACAGGUAUAAAAGGGU
rnacentral:lncRNA from 10 species